AAACUGUGGCCCAUAGUACUCU
rnacentral:miRNA from 1 species